UACGUAGGGUGCAAGCGUUAUCCGGAAUUAUUGGGCGUAAAGAGCUCGUAGGCGGUUUGUCGCGUCUGCUGUGAAAACCCGAGGCUCAACCUAGGGCCUGCAGUGGGUACGGGCAGACUAGAGUGCGGUAGGGGAGAUUGGAAUUCCUGGUGUAGCGGUGGAAUGCGCAGAUAUCAGGAGGAACACCGGUGGCGAAGGCGGGUCUCUGGGCCGAUACUGACGCUGAGGAGCGAAAGCGUGGGGAGCGAACAGG
rnacentral:rRNA from 1 species